rnacentral:sRNA from 1 species
UCAGGAAAUGCGCUUUCUACUCCCCGCGCCCGGUAGAGCUAAUGCAGGGAAGUUUCUGGGAACAUUCGACCAGCGUUUGUAUUGGAGUCGAGGAACUUCUCUGAAAACCAAUUCUACGAUAUCCCAGCAGCUAAACACAGCCCGAAUUCCCUAGAAACAGAGAGAGCGAGAGAAAACACUGUAAACCCCAAUCACACGCUCCUGUUUUCCCGAGACCAGCAGGCCCGGGACAGUUGGUGUUUGGCCGUGCCGCUGUCUAACUUGGUGUGCAGAGUGAAUUGCCGCUGCCGGAGCGGAGAGAGGCGGAGCGGCCAGGAGAGAGGGGAUUUCUGUCAGCGCCGGCGCUCGGGAGCUCGGAGACAUGAACGGCUUCACGCCUGACGAGAUGAGCCGCGGCGGGGAUGCGGCCGC